rnacentral:rRNA from 1 species
UACGUAGGGUGCAAGCGUUAUCCGGAAUUAUUGGGCGUAAAGAGCUCGUAGGCGGUUUGUCGCGUCUGCUGUGAAAACCGGAGGCUCAACCUCCGGCCUGCAGUGGGUACGGGCAAACUAGAGUGCGGUAGGGGAGAUUGGAAUUCCUGGUGUAGCGGUGGAAUGCGCAGAUAUCAGGAGGAACACCGAUGGCGAAGGCAGAUCUCUGGGCCGAUACUGACGCUGAGGAGCGAAAGCGUGGGGAGCAAACAGG